rnacentral:lncRNA from 1 species
UACAAGCUUGCGCAAGCUUUUUUAGUUGCAAGCUUGCGCAAGCUUUUUCUGUUAACACUGGACUUAGGAAAUUUCAUGCCAGUUGUAAGGUGGGAAGCAGAAAAAAUUCUAAGUCGAAAACACGGAAAAAAUUUAUAAAAAUCAUUAUUUGAUGAUGAUUGAUUUUUAUUCUAACAUAUUGGUAUUCAAAUUAAAUGUCAUGAAACAAAGAAUCUAAAUAUCAGGUAAACAUUUAUUUUUUCUAUAUAUGUCUAUAUAAGGGCAUGUCGCACUAAAUACCAAAAGUAUAAAUUUGUCUGUAGCAUGCAUAAUAUAAUUAAGACAAUAAAAUAUGACAAAAAAAGAUCUAACACUUUUUUAUACAUUAAAUUUUAUGUUGAGAAUGUCUGAAUCGAUUAUACAGAGAAAAAUGUACAAGUAUACAUGUAAGUAUAUAAGUCAUAUGGAAUAAUAUAUGAUAUACAGGUGAUAUUCUCUUAACUUUUACUCAGUAGCAAAGCUGCCAUUUUUAGAGGAUGGGGCUAGUUAUAUAUAAUCUGACAAUUUUUUUUCUUCAAAUAUUUCUGUCCAGAAAGAGGAAAUCAGCUGAAAAAGGAAAAAUCACAUCCUUGAAAUUGUAAACUAAGAUUAAAAUUAAUUGAAAUAUCAUGCUUUUUUUCUCCUAGAAAACAACAGCAGCAACAGUAAUUGCAUGAAAUAGUACAAUUCUUUUCACCAAUUCAUUAAUAGUUAUUCCUAGAUAAGUGAUAAAUCAUUUGGGUCUAUUAAUCCCUGUAGUGUAUGUAUAUUGCUUGUCUCACUACAGGAGAUUAUCUCAUGCAGACUGAUAAGAUCUGGCAUGGGUUAUAUUUAGAAACUCAUAACAAGAGAUCAACCAAUGAAAAUAAAGUCAGUGAACUACUUCUGGGGGCUGUACAUGUACCACAAAAAGUAAUCCAUAGCUUUUUCUGUUUUAUAUCAGAGUAAUCUUCAAAAUUUAUGAGUAUGUGAUUGAAUGGAAUAAAAUCUUCCUCUAGUACAAAAAUAUUUUAACAUCAUAGAUGUAUCAUUACCUUCAUUAGCUGACUGUUAAUGGCACAUUUGCCCAAGAAUAUCAAAAUUUCAAAUCUACACAGGAAGUUCUUUGACAGACAGCUGAAUAGAGUCAAUAUUUGGGAGAGUGUUUCCCUAAAUAUUUUACUAUGUGCAGCUUAUUUCAUCUUGGAAUUUAACAAUAAUUAACAGAAUGCACCAGGUGAGUUCAUAAAAUUUAUUUGUUUUCAAACAGUAAUCUAUAUUACCUUUAACAAUGUCAAAACUAGAACAAUGGAUUCUAACAGGAAGCAGGUGGUUUAGUUUUCAGUGUGUAAUGCAACAAAUGGUUUUUACUUCAUGUCAUUUUGUUCCACUACAACUAUUUUGCAGCUGCAAUUUCUAAUUUAUCAUGCUUUUAAUUUAUUAGAAGGAAAAUUGGAUAUUCUGUUUAAAUGAAAAUAUCAAAUGGAACAAAAAAAAAUAAGGCCAGUAGAGUUAUCUCCACAGGUGGCACUGCUGAGUAAACAAUGCUAUCAGUCUGCUGACUACAAUAUUACACAGUAUAUUCAGGGAGUAUUUGGUUUAAAUCAAUGUUUUUAACCUGUUGUUAUAUGAAAAUUAUUUUUUAACAAAAAGAAAUGUUUAUGGAUAAUUUUGUUAUUAUUAUAGAUCAUUAUACCCUUUAUUGAAACAGCAGAACAAUUAUAUCGAAAAUUUAGCAAAAACACACAUAUUAAGCAGCUUUUUGUUAUUUAUAGGUACUUUUAUACUUCUUCUUUUGUUAAUUCUGAUAUCUUUAACUACAUUUAUCACUUAGUCUUAAUUCUUUUCAAUUAAUAUGAUUUUCAAAUUUUCAAAAAAAAAGUAGCAUCUUUAAUAGUGGGAACUGCAUGUCUAGUCCAAGACUGUUAUAUCUUUUUAGAAUUUUUAUUUUUAGAAUUGUGAAUAUAGCCAGUCUAUAUCUAAGGUCCAAUAUCAUAUGAUAAUAUUAAAAUCUGUAAAUUAGACUGGCAUUUGUCACAAUAACAUACAUUUUAAAAAAUCACAUUUUUUUUUAUUUUGUGACAAGUUCUUUAUUAUCAGUCCUGCGGCUAGUCUAGUAUAGUCCACCUACUUGUGAUAGUCUUAAAUUUGUCUAAUAUUUACCCAUUUCAACACAAUAAACUGGAAUGUACAAGUAAAUAAAAUUUCCAUGUUCAAGGUUAAAUGUAAAGAUUUAGGGUUUCCCUUUAGAGGAGUCUUACAGAAUAUUGACAUAUAUAUUUGUAAUGUUCAGGGAGAUUAUUUGAGUCUAUCAUACUUAUGGAAAAUAUAUCAAACUUUCCAUGACAUUGAAUAAAAGGCUAAUACAUAUACACAUCAUUUUUAUUACGAACUUUGCAAAGGCAUAUUUUAUUUACUUUCAAGUAACUUUUUUUUUAAUGCGAGGUGCAGUGAAUAAUGCAUAAUUAUAUUAUAUUAAAUUCAUAAUUUGUAAUUUUAAAUGUGUGGCAAAAUUUAAAAAUUGUUUUACAUAAUCUUAUGCAAAAUUUGUUUAAUGAGCAGUUAUUUAUACUUGUAUAACACCUUUUACAUUUGUUACAUACUAAAUUACAUAAUAUAUAAAUAACUUCUCCAACUACUAUGAAGCAAAAAAAAUGUAUAAACAGUACUGUCAACUGAUGAAUGCAUCAGAGACAUUUUUUGGCCUCAUUAUUCAUCAAUGUACAGUUUCAGUUUUAGAUCAUUGACAUAUACCCAAUAAAUAACUAAAAAAAAAUUAUGGACAUCUAAGUGUUAAAUUAAAUCUAUUUUUCAGGUAUAGCAUCAUAUGUGUAUAUAAAGUAUCAGCACACGUGAAUGAAUUGAGACAUGUUUAGUGACCCAAUGUAUUGUGUUCAAAGGCUCCAUCCAACAGUUCAAAGACAUGUCAUAGCAGUGAAGCAAAUGGUGGCAAACGAUGGCUUUGUGGUGGUUAGUGGAAAACUGUGGCAAUCUACAUUGGUGGUGGCAAACACUGACAGAAAAUUUCUGGACCAGCAGUGACAUUAAGUUGAAAACAAUGACAUAUUUUACACUGUACUGAAGAUGUAAUUGCGAAAAUUAUUUAAUAAAAACGUUAUGGCUAUCAGUGGAAAACAUCGAUAUACUACAAUAAGAGUGGAACUGACAUUUUAACACUAUUGUUUGUACUAUUAUACAUCACCUAGUUCAAAAGUCAUAAGCAUUUUUGUUAUAUUAUAGACUUUUGGCAUUGAAAAACAUAGUUAUUUAAAGACCUAAAUAAUAUCGUUAUUGUUCUAACUUAGUUAAAAUGCUGACUGAUUUGAGAACAAUCAAAAUAAAAGGUUGAUUUACA